AGUCCCCAGUAUAUCCAUCUCCAAAAUUACAAAGGACCAAGGGGCGGUAAUAGAAAUAAUUUCAGUAGCAGAUUGAUAUUGGAUGUUAGCAUACCUCUGACAUUGGAUGUUGGAUAUUGGAUGUUAGCAUACCUCUUAGUGACAAGAUCGGCUAUAUUCUUUUGAAUAGUUGACCAGUAAUAAUCUUAUCGGAUUAGUUUAUAAGUAAGUGACUUGCCCCC
rnacentral:lncRNA from 1 species